rnacentral:rRNA from 1 species
UACGAACUGUGCGAACGUUAUUCGGAAUCACUGGGCUUACAGGGUGCGUAGGCGGCCUUUCAAGUCAGGUGUGAAAUCCCCCAGCUCAACUGGGGAACUGCGCUUGAAACUGGAGGGCUGGAGGCAACUAGAGGUGCAUGGAACUUCCGGUGGAGCGGUGAAAUGUGUUGAUAUCGGAAGGAACACCAGAGGCGAAAGCGAUGCACUGGGGUUGUUCUGACGCUGAGGCACGAAAGCCAGGGGAGCGAAC